AUAUCAAUAAGCGGAGGAAAAGAAACCAACAGGGAUUGCCCUAGUAACGGCGAGUGAAGCGGCAACAGCUCAAAUUUGAAAUCUGGCUUCGGCCCGAGUUGUAAUUUGUAGAGGAUGCUUUUGGCGCGGUGCCUUCUGAGUUCCCUGGAACGGGACGCCAUAGAGGGUGAGAGCCCCGUAUAGUUGGACACCAAGCCUUUGUAAAGCUCCUUCGACGAGUCGAGUAGUUUGGGAAUGCUGCUCAAAAUGGGAGGUAAAUUUCUUCUAAAGCUAAAUACCGGCCAGAGACCGAUAGCGCACAAGUAGAGUGAUCGAAAGAUGAAAAGCACUUUGAAAAGAGGGUUAAAUAGCACGUGAAAUUGUUGAAAGGGAAGCGCUUAUGACCAGACUUGUUCUAGGUUGAUCAUCCAGUGUUCUCACUGGUGCACUCUGCCUAGAUCAGGCCAGCGUCGGUUUUCGUAGGGGGAUAAAGGCUUCGGGAAUGUGGCUCCUCCGGGAGUGUUAUAGCCCGUUGCAUAAUACCCUUAUGGGGACCGAGGUACGCGCUCUGCAAGA
rnacentral:rRNA from 1 species